rnacentral:rRNA from 1 species
AUUUUCCGGUUGAUCCCGCCGGACCCCACUGCUAUCGAGGUGGGACUAAGCCAUGCCAGUCGAACGACCCGGACUAUGGCGGGGAGUGGCAGACUACUCAGUAACACGUAGCUAACCUACCCUCGGGACGGGGAUAACCCCGGGAAACUGGGGCUAAUACCCGAUAGGUAUGGAUUCCUGGAAUGGUGCCAUGCCUAAACGUAAGCACAUCCAUGUUUGUGUGCACGCCCGAGGAUGGGGCUGCGGCCGAUCAGGCAGUUGGUGAGGUAACGGCUCACCAAACCUUUGACCGGUACGGGCCAUGAGAGUGGUAGCCCGGAGACGGGCACUGAGACAAGGGCCCAGGCCCUACGGGGCGCAGCAGGCGCGAAACCUCCACAAUUCACGCAAGUGAGAUGGGGUUACCUCGAGUGCUAUCUGAAGAAGGUGGCUUUUCCAUGGUGUAAUGAGCCGUGGGAAUAAGGGGGGGGCAAGACUGGUGUCAGCCGCCGCGGUAACACCAGCCCCCCGAGUGGUGGGGAUGAUUAUUUGGCCUAAAGCGUCCGUAGCCAGCUCGGUAAAUCUCUCGUUAAAUCCAGCGUCCUAAGCGUUGGGCUGCGAGGGAAACUGCCGAACUAGAGGGUGGGAGAGGUCAGCGGUAUUCCUGGGGUAGGGGCGAAAUCCAUUGAUCCCAGGAGGACCACCAGUGGCGAAGGCUGCUGACUAGAACACGCCUGACGGUGAGGGACGAAAGCUGGGGUAGCGAAUCGGAUUAGAUACCCGAGUAGUCCCAGCCGUAAACGAUGCAGGCUAGGUGUUGGGUCGGCCAUGCGCCGCCUCAGUGCCACAGGGAAGCCAUUAAGCCUGCCGCCUGGGGAGUACGGCCGCAAGGCUGAAACUUAAAGGAAUUGGCGGGGGAGCACCACCAGGCGUGAAGCCU